rnacentral:rRNA from 1 species
UACGUAGGGUGCAAGCGUUGUCCGGAAUUAUUGGGCGUAAAGAGCUCGUAGGCGGUCUGUCACGUCGGCUGUGAAAUCCCGAGGCUCAACCUCGGGUCUGCAGUCGAUACGGGGCAAACUAGAGUAUUGCAGGGGAGACUGGAAUUCCUGGUGUAGCGGUGAAAAUGCGCAGAUAUCAGGAGGAACACCGGUGGCGAAGGCGGUCUGCUGGGCAGUAGCUGACACUGAGGCGCGACAGCGUGGGGGAGCAAACAGG